GCCCACCACUUGGGGAUAACCUUGCAAAAGUAGGACUAACACCCAAUGAUAUCUCUAGAAGACAUCUGAACGAGAUUAAAGAUUUAUCGGUGAUGGAUGGGGAUGCGUCUGAUUAGCUUGUUGGCGGGGUAACGGCCCACCAAGGCCACGAUCAGUAGGGGUUCUGAGAGGAAUGUCCCCCACAUUGGAACUGACACACGGUCCAAACUCCUACGGGAGGCAGCAGUGAGGAAUAUUGGUCAAUGGACGAGAGUCUGAACCAGCCAAGUAGCGUGCAGGAUGACGGCCCUAUGGGUUGUAAACUGCUUUUAUAAGGGAAUAAAGUGAGUCUCGUGAGAUUUUUUGCAUGUACCUUAUGAAUAAGGACCGGCUAAUUCCGUGCCAGCAGCCGCGGUAAUACGGAAGGUCCGGGCGUUAUCCGGAUUUAUUGGGUUUAAAGGGAGCGUAGGCCGGAGAUUAAGCCUGUUGUGAAAUGUAGAUGCUCAACAUUUGCACUGCAGCGCGAACUGGUUUCCUUGAGUACGCACAAAGUGGGCGGAAUUCGUGGUGUAGCGGUGAAAUGCUUAGAUAUCACGAAGAACUCCGAUUGCGAAGGCAGCUCACUGGAGCGCAACUGACGCUGAA
rnacentral:rRNA from 1 species